rnacentral:sRNA from 1 species
UUGUCGCGCCCGCUGUGCAUCCGGUGCACACUU